CCUCGGAGAGUUUGAUCCUGGCUCAGGACGAACGCUGGCGGCGUGCCUAAUACAUGCAAGUCGAGCGAACAGAAGGGAGCUUGCUCCCGGAUGUUAGCGGCGGACGGGUGAGUAACACGUGGGUAACCUGCCUGUAAGACUGGGAUAACUCCGGGAAACCGGAGCUAAUACCGGAUAGUUCCUUGAACCGCAUGGUUCAAGGAUGAAAGACGGUUUCGGCUGUCACUUACAGAUGGACCCGCGGCGCAUUAGCUAGUUGGUGGGGUAAUGGCUCACCAAGGCGACGAUGCGUAGCCGACCUGAGAGGGUGAUCGGCCACACUGGGACUGAGACACGGCCCAGACUCCUACGGGAGGCAGCAGUAGGGAAUCUUCCGCAAUGGACGAAAGUCUGACGGAGCAACGCCGCGUGAGUGAUGAAGGUUUUCGGAUCGUAAAGCUCUGUUGUUAGGGAAGAACAAGUGCGAGAGUAACUGCUCGCACCUUGACGGUACCUAACCAGAAAGCCACGGCUAACUACGUGCCAGCAGCCGCGGUAAUACGUAGGUGGCAAGCGUUGUCCGGAAUUAUUGGGCGUAAAGGGCUCGCAGGCGGUUUCUUAAGUCUGAUGUGAAAGCCCCCGGCUCAACCGGGGAGGGUCAUUGGAAACUGGGAAACUUGAGUGCAGAAGAGGAGAGUGGAAUUCCACGUGUAGCGGUGAAAUGCGUAGAGAUGUGGAGGAACACCAGUGGCGAAGGCGACUCUCUGGUCUGUAACUGACGCUGAGGAGCGAAAGCGUGGGGAGCGAACAGGAUUAGAUACCCUGGUAGUCCACGCCGUAAACGAUGAGUGCUAAGUGUUAGGGGGUUUCCGCCCCUUAGUGCUGCAGCUAACGCAUUAAGCACUCCGCCUGGGGAGUACGGUCGCAAGACUGAAACUCAAAGGAAUUGACGGGGGCCCGCACAAGCGGUGGAGCAUGUGGUUUAAUUCGAAGCAACGCGAAGAACCUUACCAGGUCUUGACAUCCUCUGACAACCCUAGAGAUAGGGCUUUCCCUUCGGGGACAGAGUGACAGGUGGUGCAUGGUUGUCGUCAGCUCGUGUCGUGAGAUGUUGGGUUAAGUCCCGCAACGAGCGCAACCCUUGAUCUUAGUUGCCAGCAUUUAGUUGGGCACUCUAAGGUGACUGCCGGUGACAAACCGGAGGAAGGUGGGGAUGACGUCAAAUCAUCAUGCC
rnacentral:rRNA from 1 species